UACGGAGGGGGCUAGCGUUGUUCGGAAUUACUGGGCGUAAAGCGCGCGUAGGCGGACCUGCAAGUCGGGUGUGAAACCUCCAGGCUCAACCUGGAGACGCCACCCGAUACUGCUGUGACUAGAGUCCGGUAGGGGAGCGUGGAAUUCCUGGUGUAGCGGUGAAAUGCGCAGAUAUCAGGAGGAACACCAGCGGCGAAGGCGGCGCUCUGGGCCGGAACUGACGCUGAGGAGCGAAAGCGUGGGGAGCAAACAGG
rnacentral:rRNA from 1 species